UACGAAGGGGGGCGAGCGUUGCUCGGAAUGACUGGGCGUAAAGGGCGCGUAGGCGGCUGUCACAGUCAGGCGUGAAAUUCCUGGGCUCAACCUGGGGGCUGCGCUUGAUACGUGGUGGCUUGAGUGGGGGAAGAGGGUCGUGGAAUUCCCAGUGUAGAGGUGAAAUUCGUAGAUAUUGGGGAAGAACACCGGUGGCGAAGGCGGUUGCCUGGGGCUUUUGCUGACGCUGAUGCGCGAAAGCUAGGGGAGCAAACAGG
rnacentral:rRNA from 1 species